rnacentral:rRNA from 1 species
UUGUCGGAGUGACAGCGUGCCUUUUGGAUAAUGAGCCAACGAGUUACUCCUAUGUUGCAAGGUUAAGUCCCUUAGGGACGAAGCCGUAGCGAAAGCGAGUCUGAAUAGGGCGAUUCAGUAACAUGGGGUAGACGCGAAACCGGGUGAGCUACCCAUGGCCAGGAUGAAGUGAGGGUAAAACCUCAUGGAGGUCCGAACCAGAGUAGGUUGAAAACUGCUUGGAUGAGCUGUGGGUAGGGGUGAAAGGCCAAUCAAACUCGGAAAUAGCUCGUACUCCUCGAAAUAGCUUUAGGGCUAGCCUCGGACUAUAGUGUGACGGAGGUAGAGCACUGAUUGGGCUAGGGCCCUCACAAGGGUACCAACCCCAGACAAACUCCGAAUUCCGUACACAUGUUCUCCGGGAGUCAGGCAGUGGGGGAUAAGCUUCAUUGCCGAGAGGGAAACAACCCAGACCAUCAACUAAGGUCCCCAAAUGGUAGUUAACAGAGAAAGGAUGUUAGGUUGCUCAGACAACUAGGAUGUUGGCUUAGAAGCAGCCAUUCAUUUAAAGAGUGCGUAAUAGCUCACUAGUCAAGCGACUUAGCGUCGACAAUGCUCGGGACUAAAACUACCUACCGAAGUUAUGGACUUCGAUUUAUCGGAGUGGUAGAGGAGCAUUCUGUAUGCGCCGAAGCAGUUUCGCGAGAAAUUGUGGAGCGUACAGAAAAGCAAAUGUUGGCAUAAGUAACGAUAAAGCGGAUGAAAAAUCCGCUCGCCGAAAGUCUAAGGUUUCCUGAGCAAUGCUAAUCAUCUCAGGGUUAGUCGGGUCCUAAGCCGAGGCCGAAAGGCGUAGGUGAUGGGAAACAGGUUAAUAUUCCUGUACCUGGUAAAAUUCGUUCGACCGUAAGGGGGGACGCAGGAGUGAAGGUCAGCCGCCUGUUGGAUUAGGUGGUCUAAGUGUGUAGGCGGAAAGAGUAGGCAAAUCCGCUCUUUCUUAACGCUGAGGCACGAAUGGGAGUCCUUAUGGACACAAACUGAUCGUAAUCAUACUGCCAAGAAAAGCCUCGUGCGGGAGAGUUUUAUCAGUCCGUACCGCAAACCGACACAGGUAGACGGGAUGAGUAUUCUAAGGCGCUCGAGUGAGUCGUGGUUAAGGAACUCGGCAAAUUGGCUCCGUAACUUCGGGAGAAGGAGCGCCUCGAGUAGGUGAUGCCCCUCGCGGGUUGAGCUGAAAGAGGCCGCAGUGAAAAGGCCCAAACGACUGUUUAACAAAAACACAUGUCUCUGCGAAGUCAAUUAAGACGAUGUAUAGGGACUGACACCUGCCCGGUGCCGGAAGGUUAAGAGGUGGGGUUAUGCCGACUUGUCGGCAGAAGCUCUAAAUCGAAGCCCCGGUAAACGGCGGCCGUAACUAUAACGGUCCUAAGGUAGCGAAAUUCCUUGUCGGGUAAGUUCCGACCUGCACGAAUGGUGCAACGAUUUGGGCACUGUCUCAACCACGAGCUCGGUGAAAUUGUGGUACCGGUGAAGACGCCGGUUACCCGCAGAUGGACGGAAAGACCCCGUGAACCUUUACUGCACCCUAGCAUUGGGUUCGGGUAAAUCAUGUGUAGGAUAGGUGGGAGACUUUGAAGCCGGGGCGCUAGCUUCGGUGGAGUCACCGGUGAAAUACCACCCUUGGUUUAUUUGGAUUCUAACCGCGGUCCUUGAAUCAGGAUCCGGGACAGUGUUAGGCGGGUAGUUUGACUGGGGCGGUCGCCUCCCAAAAUGUAACGGAGGCUCUCAAAGGUUCCCUCAGCAUGGUCGGUAAUCAUGCGUCGAGUGCAAACGCAUAAGGGAGCUUGACUGCGAGACAUACAGGUCGAGCAGGUGCGAAAGCAGGAGUUAGUGAUCCGGCGGUUGCGAAUGGAAGUGCCGUCGCUCAAAGGAUAAAAGGUACUCCGGGGAUAACAGGCUGAUCUUGCCCAAGAGUUCACAUCGACGGCAAGGUUUGGCACCUCGAUGUCGGCUCAUCGCAUCCUGGGGCUGGAGAAGGUCCCAAGGGUUUGGCUGUUCGCCAAUUAAAGCGGUACGUGAGCUGGGUUC